UAGGGAAUAUUGGACAAUGGGCGCAAGCCUGAUCCAGCAACGCCGCGUGGAGGAUGAAGGUCUUCGGAUCGUAAACUCCUGUCAGGUGGGACGAAGGCUGCGGGGUGAAUAAUCUUGCAGUUUGACGGUACCACCAGAGGAAGCCCCGGCUAACUCCGUGCCAGCAGCCGCGGUAAUACGGAGGGGGCGAGCGUUAUUCGGAAUUAUUGGGCGUAAAGGGCGCGUAGGCGGCUUGACAAGUCAAAGGUGAAAUCCCUCGGCUCAACUGAGGAACUGCCUUUGAAACUGUCUGGCUUGAGGCCGGGAGAGGGUAGCGGAAUUCCCAGUGUAGCGGUGAAAUGCGUAGAUACUGGGAGGAACACCGGUGGCGAAGGCGGCUACCUGGACCGGUUCUGACGCUGAGGCGCGAAAGCGUGGGUAGCAAACAGGAUUAGAUACCCUGGUAGUCCACGCUGUAAACGAUGGGUGCUCGGUGUCGCGGGUAUCGACCCCUGCGGUGCCUUAGCU
rnacentral:rRNA from 1 species